rnacentral:rRNA from 1 species
AGAGUUUGAUCAUGGCUCAGGAUGAACGCUAGCUACAGGCUUAACACAUGCAAGUCGAGGGGAAACGAUAUUGGAAGCUUGCUUCCGAUAGGCGUCGACCGGCGCACGGGUGAGUAACGCGUAUCCAACCUGCCCACCACUUGGGGAUAACCUUGCGAAAGUAAGACUAAUACCCAAUGACGUCUCUAGAAGACAUCUGAAAGAGAUUAAAGAUUUAUCGGUGAUGGAUGGGGAUGCGUCUGAUUAGCUUGUUGGCGGGGUAACGCCACCAAGGCUACGAUCAGUAGGGGUUCUGAGAGGAAGGUCCCCCANAUUGGAACUGAGACACGGUCAAACUCCUACGGGAGGCA